rnacentral:rRNA from 1 species
CGUGGAGGAAUGCGGUCCCGGGUUCUCUACACACCGCCCGUCACAGCUCGGGAGUUGGAGACGACCGAAGCCGAUUAUCUAACCUGUUUGAAGAAGUCGUCGAAGGGGGAAUCAAUAACUGGGGUGAAGUCGUAACAAGGUAGCCGUAUCGGAAGGUGCGGCUGGAUCACCUCCUUUCUAAGGAGA